GGUGGUGUUAUUAUCCAUAUAUGUUAGGUAGAUGGACAAGGAAGGGUCAAUUAAUGUGGCUAAGGACACACAGUGAGUGAAUAUCUCAACUGGAAUUCAAAUCCAGGCCAGGGUGACUGCCAAGCCAGACUUCUUCGCUGCCACAUGGAAUCAAUCUUCUUUCUGGGUAGACUGUGCAGUGACUUGAGAGGUCUUACUGUCUUUAAAGCUGCCCUGCCAGGAAAUGCUAAUUUUUUCUCCAAGACUCGAGAGCCUUUAGAAGGGACUCUGGAGAUUGGGGGGAAAGUUUUCUGAACUGGCCUUGACUCCCAGGUCUCACCAUGGGUACGACUCUGCACUAAUUCCUUCAUCCUUCUGAGCCUCAUCUUCCUUACUUGAGUGUUGGGUGAAUGGGUGAUAUAACUCCUGGCCCUCGGCCUAGGGUUUGGCUGAGCAAUGCAGAGUCGGCGACAAAAGAGACAGAGGCCUGAGGGAGCUGCGCUGCUUGUCAACAUGCCUCAGAAAUUCAUGUUUGGAGGGCUGGAAUCAUGGAUAGCUGUGACAGUCUUGUUUAUUGAUAUGACAGGAGAUAUUCCAUCUCACAGCACCUGUGAAAUGACUGUAAGAAAAAGAAACCAACACACCCCCCUGCCAGAAGCUUGCCAUUCUAGGGAUAUUUGCAAGAAUUAAAUGAUCUUUUUACUUUCUUUCCUCACUUCCCCUCAUCUCUGAUCCAUAAAAGAACCUGGCAUCCAGGCCCUGACAAGAUGGUUAUUUUGAGAUGUUAGUCUGCCAUCUUCUUCUGGGUCAGCUGGCUUUCCAAAUAAAGUCAUAUUCUUUGCCUCAGCACCUCAUCUCUUGGAUUUAUUAGCCUAUCGUGUGGUGAGCAGAGUGAGCCUGGACUCAGUAACAUAAACUGUGAUUCCACAUACCUGUGAACUACAAAAUGGCACUCGCCUGUCAACUAUAAAUUGGCACUUGCCAAGAAGAUUGGCAGUGACUGAACAAUAAGGGCAUUUGCUGACUGCCUCUGUGGAGACUGAACCUGUGCUCCCGCAGCUGCUGCACUGCAACGGGAAUCCAGGGUGGAAUGAAGCAUUCUGUGCUCCAGGGAAUCUGGUGGAGCAGGUCUUUAGGUAGUUCGAUAUUUUCAGGAGCUGAUUUCACAAUCCCAAUCCUUGAAUCUCUUCAUAUCUAGAAAAUUACUAAAUCUCUUUAUGGUGAUAUUGUUAGGGGGGAAGCACACUGAUUGAAACCGCCCACCUUGGCCAGGCACCAUUUCCAUGAGUUGUUUCCUGACAGGAAAUCCUGGUAAGGAAUAUGGAACUAAUAAGCCACCACCAGCCGGAAGAGUUCGGGAAAGGUCGAAAGGAGACGCCGGGUGUCCGUCCACU